rnacentral:rRNA from 1 species
GACGAACCGUCCAAACGUUGUUCGGAAUCACUGGGCUUAAAGGGCGCGUAGGCGGGCUUCCAAGUCGGUGGUGAAAUCUUUCGGCUCAACCGGAAAAGUGCCGCCGAUACUGGGAGCCUCGAGGGAGGUAGGGGUCGAGGGAACUUCCGGUGGAGCGGUGAAAUGCGUAGAUAUCGGAAGGAACGCCGGUGGCGAAAGCGCUCGACUGGACCUCUGCUGACGCUGAGGCGCGAAAGCCAGGGGAGCAAACGGG